ACUAUGACGAAACCUAAAGGCGCAAUGAAAGUAAAGGCUCGCCUCGCGCGAACCGAGGGAGGACGGGCCCGUCUACGGGCGGGCCCCGCACUCCCGGGGCGCCUCGUUCUCAUCGCGAGAAGAGGCGCACCCAGAGCGUACACGCUGGGACCCGAAAGAUGGUGAACUAUGCCUGGUCAGGACGAAGUCAGGGGAAACCCUGAUGGAGGUCCGUAGCGAUUCUGACGUGCAAAUCGAUCGUCGGAACUGGGUAUAGGGGCGAAAGACUAAUCGAACCUUCUAGUAGCUGGUUCCUUCCGA
rnacentral:rRNA from 1 species